GCCGGUUUGGCUCAGUGGAUAGAGCGUCAGCCUGUGGACUGAAAAGUCCCAGGUUCGAUUCCGGUAAAGGGCA
rfam:Myotis lucifugus cont2.37789, whole genome shotgun sequence.